rnacentral:tRNA from 1 species
GCGCCCUUAGCUCAGUCGGUAGAGCAACUGCCUUUUAAGCAGAUGGUCGCAGGUUCGACUCCUGCAGGGCGCA